rnacentral:rRNA from 1 species
UACCAGCACCCCGAGUGGUCGGGACGAUUAUUGGGCCUAAAGCAUCCGUAGCCGGCCUUACAAGUCCCCCGUUAAAUCCAACUGCUUAACAGAUGGGCUGCGGAGGAUACUAUAAGACUAGGAGGCAGGAGAGGCAAGCGGUACUCAGUGGGUAGGGGUAAAAUCCGUUGAUCCAUUGAAGACCACCAGUGGCGAAGGCGGCUUGCCAGAAUGCGCUCGACGGUGAGGGAUGAAAGCUGGGGGAGCAACCGGG